GCCUGGUGUAUGCUGGGAUACAGUUCUACUUGGUGACUGACCUUGGCCUUCCUUCUUUAACAGACCAGGAGGAGGUGGCCAAUUGUUCCCAGACGACCAACCUGCAAUGCCAGUGCAAACAAGGCUUCUACUGUCCCUUGAAAGAUUGUGAGAGCUGUUUCCACUGCACGAGUUGUCCUGAAGGUAGAGCUGUCCAUAAGCCAUGCAACGCCACAGUGGACACAGUGUGUGCUGAACCUGAUCCUCAGCCAGGCAAGGGGUUCUCAAAUCUGGAGAAUCUAAUCUGGUAUCUGUGCUCCUUCAUUCUGGUUGCUGGAACAGGCGUAAUAGUCUAUAGAAAAAAGUCUGAUCUAUAUGUCACCAUCAAGAAUACCUGCUGCAUAGAAGAGGUAAAUCAGAUCCAUCAAUUGGUGAGAACAUACGGGGCCUCCUUUGUGGGUCAGAAAUGGGCAGUGGAGGUGCUUAAUGUCUCACUCCAGGUGCAGCUCAGGUGCCUAAUUCUGGAGCCUCUCCUGACAGCUGCUCCCUGACAGGGCUUGAGACCAGAAGUGCCUCAGGUCAGUGGGUCACUGUGACAGCCAGCACCGUACAGGGUAUAUCCCAGCUGGGAAGUAGGGGAGCUUGCG
rnacentral:lncRNA from 1 species